UGAACGCUAGCGGCAGGCCUAAUACAUGCAAGUCGAACGAUACUUUCCAGCUUGCUGGGAAGGAAAGUGGCGCACGGGUGCGUAACGCGUAUGCAACCUACCUUAAUCAGGGGGAUAGCCCGAAGAGAUUCGGAUUAACACCGCAUAAAAUCACAGUAUAGCAUUAUACAAUGAUCAAAUAUUUAUAGGAUUAAGAUGGGCAUGCGUGACAUUAGUUAGUUGGCGGGGUAACGGCCCACCAAGACCACGAUGUCUAGGGGAUCUGAGAGGAUGACCCCCCACACUGGUACUGAGACACGGACCAGACUCCUACGGGAGGCAGCAGUAAGGAAUAUUGGUCAAUGGAGGCAACUCUGAACCAGCCAUGCCGCGUGCAGGAAGACAGCCCUCUGGGUCGUAAACUGCUUUUACCAGGGGAUAAAAACGUUUUGCGAAACGGAUUGAAGGUACCUGGGGAAUAAGCCACGGCUAACUACGUGCCAGCAGCCGCG
rnacentral:rRNA from 1 species